GAUGAACGCUGGCGGCGUGCCUAAUACAUGCAAGUCGAGCGAAUGGAUUAAGAGCUUGCUCUUGUGAAGUUAGCGGCGGACGGGUGAGUAACACGUGGGUAACCUGCCCAUAAGACUGGGAUAACUCCGGGAAACCGGGGCUAAUACCGGAUAACAUUUUGAACCGCAUGGUUCGAAAUUGAAGGGCGGCUUCGGCUGUCACUUAUUGAUGGACCCGCGUCGCAUUAGCUAGUUGGUGAGGGAACGGCUCACCAAGGCAACGAUGCGUAGCCGACCUGAGAGGGUGAUCGGCCACACUGGGACUGAGACACGGCCCAGACUCCUACGGGAGGCAGCAGUAGGGAAUCUUCCGCAAUGGACGAAAGUCUGACGGAGCAACGCCGCGUGAGUGAUGAAGGCUUUCGGGUCGUAAAACUCUGUUGUUAGGGAAGAACAAGUGCUAGUUGAAUAAGCUGGCACCUUGACGGUACCUAACCAGAAAGCCACGGCUAACUACGUGCCAGCAGCCGCGGUAA
rnacentral:rRNA from 1 species